rnacentral:rRNA from 1 species
GACGAACGCUGGCGGCGUGCUUAACACAUGCAAGUCGAGCGGUAAGGCCCUUUCGGGGGUACACGAGCGGCGAACGGGUGAGUAACACGUGGGUGACCUGCCCUCAGCUCUGGGAUAAGCCUGGGAAACCGGGUCUAAGUACUGGAUAUGGCUCCAUGACGCAUGUUGUGGGGUGGAAAGCCUUGUGCGGCUGAGGAUGGGCCC